GACGAACGCUGGCGGCGUGCCUAAUACAUGCAAGUCGAGCGGACUUAAAAAGCUUGCUUUUUAAGUUAGCGGCGGACGGGUGAGUAACACGUGGGCAACCUGCCUGUAAGACUGGGAUAACUUCGGGAAACCGGAGCUAAUACCGGAUAAUCCUUUUCUACUCAUGUAGAAAAGCUGAAAGACGGUUUACGCUGUCACUUACAGAUGGGCCCGCGGCGCAUUAGCUAGUUGGUGAGGUAACGGCUCACCAAGGCGACGAUGCGUAGCCGACCUGAGAGGGCGAUCGGCCACACUGGGACUGAGACACGGCCCAGACUCCUACGGGAGGCAGCAGUAGGGAAUCUUCCGCAAAGGACGAAAGUCUGACGGAGCAACGCCGCGUGAGUGAUGAAGGUUUUCGGAUCGUAAAACUCUGUUGUUAGGGAAGAACAAGUACGAGAGUAACUGCUCGUACCUUGACGGUACCUAACCAGAAAGCCACGGCUAACUACGUG
rnacentral:rRNA from 1 species